rnacentral:rRNA from 1 species
GAUCAUGGCUCAGGACGAACGCUGGCGGCGUGCCUAGCACAUGCAAGUUGAACGGAACUUUUUUGAAAGAUUUCUUCGGAAUGAAUUUGAUUAAGUUUAGUGGCGGACGGGUGAGUAACGCGUGAGUAACCUGCCUCUAAGAGGGGAAUAACAUUCUGAAAAGAAUGCUAAUACCGCAUAAUAUAUAUUUAUCACAUGGUAGAUAUAUCAAAGAUUUAUCGCUUAGAGAUGGACUCGCG